rnacentral:rRNA from 1 species
AUUGAACGCUGGCGGCAGGCCUAACACAUGCAAGUCGAACGAGUGGCGGACGGGUGAGUAAUGUCUGGGAAACUGCCUGAUGUAGGGGGAUAACUACUGGAAACGGUAGCUAAUACCGCAUACCAUCGGAUGUGCCCAGAUGGGAUUAGCUAGUGGGGGGGGUAAAGGCUCACCUAGGCGACGAUCCCUAGCUGGUCUGAGAGGAUGACCAGCCACACUGGCACUGAGACACGGUCCAGACUCCUACGGGAGGCAGCAGUGGGGAAUAUUGCGCAAUGGGCGAAAGCCUGAUGCAGCCAUGCCGCGUGUAUGAAGAAGGCCUUCGGGUUGUAAAGUUCUUUCAGCAGGGAGGCGUUACCCGCAGAAGAAGCACCGGCUAACUCCGUGCCAGCAGCCGCGGUAAUAC